AACAAGGUUUUAUUUAAAUCCACCCAAAAUACAUUUGUAAGAUAUUU
rfam:Physcomitrella patens subsp. patens PHYPAscaffold_179 genomic scaffold, whole genome shotgun sequence.